UUUGCUUGUUGGUACAUGUGUUCUUCAGCUGCUGUUAAGUGCUACAGCCAUGGGCUUAUAUCUGGGAGUCACCUCACUUGGAGAUAUAUGGAAGUUUCUACUUCUUGAUCCCCAUGGCCAAUGACUGGAUGAUAUAUGGAUGUACAGUACAUGCUCUGUUACCCAUUAACACGGAGAAAAGAACGUGGAGUAAAUGGAAGUCAAGGAGGGGUGGGAGCCACGGAACUAACAGCCUGGAUCUAGCCAAGGAGAAGAAAUAGAAUAAAAUGCCAAAUGCUGGAAUAUGACUUCAAAAGG
ensembl:lncRNA